AGCUUAUCCAGAAAGACUGAGGGAACGGGCCCUAUGACGUCUUAGCAUCCUAUUCAUCAACGAAGGUUGAAAGAGUGUUGUGCUAAAUCCCAUUCGUAGCAUUGCGAAAUGUAGCGGAAAAGAUAAGCG
rnacentral:ncRNA from 2 species